rnacentral:tRNA from 1 species
GCCGGUGUAGCUCAAUUGGCAGAGCACUCGCCUUGUAAGCGAAAGGUUCCGGGUUCGAGUCCCGCCACCGGCU